AAUAGAUACCCGGGUAGUCCACGCCGUAAACGAUGGAUACUAGCUGUUGGGGGCGACCUCAGUGGCUAAGCGAAAGUGAUAAGUAUCCCACCUGGGGAGUACGUUCGCAAGAAUGAAACUCAAAGGAAUUGACGGGGGCCCGCACAAGCGGUGGAGCAUGUGGUUUAAUUCGAUGAUACGCGAGGAACCUUACCAAGGCUUAAAUGCAGACUGACCGUUUUGGAAACAGAACUUUCGCAAGACAGUCUACAAGGUGCUGCAUGGUUGUCGUCAGCUCGUGCCGUGAGGUGUCAGGUUAAGUCCUAUAACGAGCGCAACCCCUGUUGUUAGUUGCCAGCGAGUAGUGUCGGGAACUCUAACAAGACUGCCAGUGCAAACUGUGAGGAAGGUGGGGAUGGACGUCAAAGUCAUCACGGGCCCUUACGCCUUGGGCUACACACGUGCUACAAUGGCCGGUACAGAGAGCAGCCACCUCGCGAGGGGGAGCGAAUCUACAAAGCCGGUCACAGUUCGGAUCGGAGUCUGCAACUCGUACCG
rnacentral:rRNA from 1 species